rnacentral:lncRNA from 1 species
UGUGGUGUGUGUGUGUGUGUGUGUUGUGUGUGUGUGUGUGUGUGUGUGUGUUGUCGGUGUGUGUGUGUGUGUGUGUCGUGUGUGUGUGUGUGUGUUGUCGGUGUGUGUGUGUGUGUGUGUUGUGUGUGUGUGUGUGUGUGUGUGUGUGUGUGUGUGUUGUGUGUGUGUGUGUGUGUGUGUGUGUGUGUGUGUGUGUGUGUGUGUGUGUUGUCGGUGUGUGUGUGUGUGUGUUGUCGGUGUGUGUGUGUGUGUGUGUGUUGUGUGUGUGUGUGUUGUCUGUGUGUGUGUGUGUGUGUGUUGUCGGUGUGUGUGUGUGUGUGUGUGUGUGUGUGUGUGUGUGUGUUGUCUGUGUGUGUGUGUGUGUGUGUGUGUUGUGUGUGUGUGUGUGUGUUGUGUGUGUGUGUGUGUGUGUGUGUGUGUGUGUGUGUGUGUGUUGUCGGUGUGUGUGUGUGUGUGUUGUCGGUGUGUGUGUGUGUGUGUGUGUGUGUGUGUGUGUGUGUGUGUGUUGUCGGUGUGUGUGUGUGUGUGUGUGUGUGUGUGUGUGUGUGUGUGUUGUGUGUGUGUGUUGUCGGUGUGUGUGUGUGUGUGUGUGUGGUGUGUGUGUGUGUGUGUGUGUGUGUGUGUGUGUUGUCGGGUGUGUGUGUGUGUGUUGUCGGUGUGUGUGUGUGUGUGUGUGUGUUGUGUGUGUGUGUGUGUGUGUGUUUUGUCCGUGUGUGUGUGUGUGUGUCUGUGUGUGUGUGUGUGUUGUCGGUGUGUGUGUGUGUGUGUGUUGUCGGUGUGUGUGUGUGUUGUCUGUGUGUGUGUGUUGUCGGUGUGUGUGUGUGUGUUGUCGGUGUGUGUGUGUGUGUUGUCGGUGUGUGUGUGUGUGUGUGUGUGUGUGUGUGUGUGUGUGUGUGUUGUCGUGUGUGUGUGUGUGUGUGUGUGUGUGUGUGUGUGUGUGUGUGUGUGUGUGUGUGUUGUCGGUGUGUGUGUGUGUGUUGUGUGUGUGUGUGUGUGUGUGUGUGUGUGUUCGGUGUGUGUGUGUGUGUGUGUUGUGUGUGUGUGUGUGUGUGUUGUCUGUGUGUGUGUGUGUGUGUUGUCGUGUGUGUGUGUGUGUGUGUGUGUGUUGUGUGUGUGUGUGUGUGUGUGUGUGUGUGUGUGUGUGUUGUCGGUGUGUGUGUGUGUGUGUGUG